AUGACAGGGUAUAGAUUUGCAAGAAAAUUAGCUUUAAAACAGCAACAUUUUCUCUCUGCCAACAAGAGGGGUGUGAACAGUGCUUGUGCCCAUAGAAAUGGACGUGGGUUGUUGCCCAAUGCUGGAAGCGGGGCCUGAGUGAAAAGGUUUGGGAACCUACAGCCUACAUGAUGUCAGUACAACAACAAGAAUGAUGUCCUAUUAUGUGAUCACUGUGACAGCUGUCACCUAUGACCUUUCACACAUUUAAAAAGCUUCCAUCUAAACAACCCCCACUGACCCACAUGGGUGUUUCACCGUACCCUUCCUAGAAAAACUGGAAAAGUCUGUUUCUAGUAUAUCUCCCUCCUAGUCGAUUUGUAGCAAGGGAUCUAUAUGACUGGUUUUGCAUUUAGGAAAGUUCUGAUCUCAUGAUUAUCUUAUUGUCACUCCCUACAGUAAUUUCCUCAGUGACUACCACAGAAAGACAUGUUAAUUCAUGUUCAGGCUUUAGGCUAUAUGAAUCCCCCUCAACGAGAUAGCUUACAUGCUACAGUACUGGGCUUUCUCUUGCUUGAGUGUGCAUACGGAAGUAUUAUUUUUGGCUUUCAGUACAGAUAUGCCAUUUCUGUAUAAUGAAGUUCUAAUAAUCUAAUAUCCUCUUUGUAAAAAUAUUUACCCCUCUUCAAUGCUGAUGGAGGUGGUAAAGUCAAACCAAAGAGUAAAUACACCAGACAUGAACAUCACCAAAAAUACAUUUAGCAUGGAGGACUCAGGUCGAGGAGCCAGCUACACAGUGCCCUGUGACGACUACGUCCAUGUGGUGGAGUUUAGCCCCUUUGACAGUUGCUCAGUUGCGUCCCUCUUGGCCUAUUGAGGAAGCCAAUAUGUGGUUGUAGGCACCUGCUGCUUCCAGGUGAGUGGUAGCCUGCCAGAUUCCUCUUCCUCAUGUCCUCUUUUCUAACCUCCCUUCUCAAAAGGUAUCAGAAGAGAAGAUCCUCCCAAGGUUCCUCUCUGAGGAGGCAUGGAUAGGGGACACAAGGAAAUGAGCCAGUGUUUUGGUUCCAUAUGUGAUGUAAACCACUGCUGUAUGUGUGACUUGAACCACUGUUUGAGCAGGAGGAGGACAUGGAGGUAGAGGGGGUUGAAUUCACCACACUGCAUUUUUUCCAUCAUGCGUUACGUAUGGAUUGCCUCCCAUGGAGCCCUGAGUCUCGGCUGGACAAGCUGCCCCAACUCAUCAGAUUCUGCACUGCUGCAGCAGACAGAAAAGUGAGGCUGUUGACUUCUGAUCUUCAGAAUCAACAUGAAGUCAAGGUGAUGGAGGGUCACACCAGCUACAUCAACCACUUAGUGUUUGAACCCACGGAGGGGAAACAAAUGGCUUCGGUCAGCGAUGACCAUACAUGCAGCCCUGUCCUUUCCUGCGUGGGAACUCUACUCCAGCCGGAGAGGCCACCUGUAGCAGCUAGAAGGAGGUCACAGCCUCCCACUGAGGUCAGAGUGUCUGCCAGAGGUCCCAACCUCUCUGGGCUCGGCUCCCAUUGUGUCUCAUAGCUUCCAGUCGGAUUUGCAGUAGGUAUGUUUCUGUUGUGUGAGAUGGAUUCCUCACUUCAGCCAGCUCUGGUUUCGUGUUGACAUGGAUCAGCAGAAUACAGCUUACUCAAGGGGCUUGAACAGAGACACCUGCUGCAACUAUUUGAUGUGCGAGAUCUACUCUGUGUGUCAUCCUUUUGGGAAGUAUUUCUGAGGCGUUAUCACAACAGUUUGAGCCUUUCUCCCCCCUCUAGCCUGUCAGUCAAGCUAUCUGUCAGUUAGUAUGUCCAUGUCCACUCUACAACAUCCCAGUCUUUCAUCUCCUUGUUUCUCCUUUUCUUCUCAUGUUCUCAAGCUUUUUUUGCUCCGUGCUAUGGGAUCCCAUCAUCAACUCUAGCGAGAGGAGCAAACCGAUCCAAUAAAAAUGACUAAUGGCCGAGAUAAUUAUUUCAACAGUCCAAAUGUCUGCUAAAGAACAUGUUAUUGUUCAAGACACUUGAGCAGGUCUGGUCAAGAUGGAUGUUGGUGUGGUUUUGAGGAGAGGAGGACGGCGUGCUGUGCUCCUCUGCCUGGACUCCCCUGUGAGGCUCUGAGGUGUGAUUACUGUUUGUCUUUCUCAACCCUCGUUCUGCCGAGAGUCGCCAAGGUUAUUUACCCUGCGCACUCUCAUAAUUUAGUUCACACGGUGCACACUACGUUUCCCAUUUCCUCCGCUCAUUUGGAAACCGUUGACCGAAAUUAAAAGGUGUGGCUGCUGUUGUCUCACUCACAUCUACACACAGACUUCAAAUGCAGUCUCGCCUUUCAACUUUAUUGUACAUGAAGCCCAGUGUUAAUGCUUGAUGUCACGUCAGCUGUAGUGUUAUGCAAUUACACAGCGCUUUGUCAGUGGUGGUCUCCGUCUUGUUUCUUGCCCCCUUUCACCUUGUUCAGCAAGGAUUACAUUGAAACAUUUUUUAAAAUAAGAAUCUUUCCCCAUUUGAAGGGCAAAGUGGUGGACCACAACUUGGCCGGAUGCGGCGUAGCGUGCGAUUGAACUCUGCUUGGCGAGUGGUCUGAGAAGAGAGGGUUUAUGCUUGUUUGUCUGCUGUGGUCUGAGGUUUCCAACCUCGCUCAUGCUCUAUGGAGGAGGGUCUGCACCGCACUCUACACAGGGCCAUUCUGACUUCUGUGUUGUGUCAAGAAGCAAAAGCUCUCAUGGAGAAAUGUUUUAUCCCCUGCAGGGAAGACACAGGAAAAGUUGUGUUUGUUUAAUGAGGUCUUCAUCUGGGAUGGGGCAAAAUCAUAUCCUCUCCGCCGCGACUCUGCAGACAUCUCUCCAACAUGUUUGACAUUUAGACAGGCUUUGGGUCUUUAUUAGAUGUCUUCUGCAUGACCUCAUCAGUCAACGCAUUCACAUCGGUCCCAACCAUACAGUCCUUUAAAAAACAUUUUUUAACCACUUGCAAGUUUAUUCCUCCCUGGUUCAGGGGAAUGUUCUGUUAGAUACGAGGCCUUGUGUUCGCUGAGGAGGGCUCUCAAAUGUGGCUGAAGAGUAGAUCCUGGUCUCGGGAGCAGCCUGUCCUCUCCAAGUGAUUUAUUACAUCCGGGCGCACGUUUGCCUUGUCCUCUGCCUUCUCGCUCGUCAGUGCAGGGCCCCGACCGCCUGUCUUCACAGCUCAAGGGGGAGAUUACAACCAAGAUCCCUUUUUCCCUGAAAGAAGGGCAGUACUAGUGAGGCUCUGUGUGCGCAUCUCUUGGACAACUGACAGAAGUUAGAUAAAUUACACACAGGCAUUACGUGCUUUCAUAAAAACACUGGCAUCACUACAGGCCUGGUGUGUGCUGCUCACUCAUUAGAGUACAUUCCCGAAGAGAGUCUCACAGACGCCUGGGGAAAGAUGGGUUUGGAUGGAAGCUUGUAACUUUUUUGACAUGGAUCCUGUGAGACAAAAACAGCCAGCCAGCCAGCCAGCCAUGAUGUCUUUGUUGUUUUUCAUAUUUUUAGCUGCCAUUAGCGUGUGUAAUCCUUUGUUUUGUGUGCUGUCAGCACCAAGGCGUCUGCCUGCGCUGUGCUGCGCGUCAUCUCCUCUCCCCACACAGGGGGUGGCUGGACUCCGGAAGCUAUUUUUAGCUUUGCCGCGCGUCCCACUCCAGCACAGCUAAUUGAGUGCUUAUUAAUUUUGUUUUUUGGACUUGAUAAUUUCUCAUUUUUGACAGGACCUGUUUUAUCUGAAGCUUCGGACCGGGUUGUUUUUUUGAAUCGCAGACUUCCUGUCUGAGGUUGUUUUCUAAACGGGUAGUUGAGGACAGGAGAAUAAUUUUCUUACAGUCCUUAAACGGUUCAUUUCCCCUGAGCACACCCCCUCUCCCUUUCAUGCCAGAUGGCCUCUCAGUAACAGUGCAUUCCAGUUUCAUAAUGAGUUUAAAUAAUUAGUGAGAGUGAAAAGUUCUAGUGUGGGAGUGAAAAGUUCUAGUGUGGGAGUGAAAAGUUCUAGUGUGGGAGUGAAAAGUUCUAGUGUGGGAGUGAAAAGAUCUAGUGUGGGAGUGAAAAGAUCUCGCCAUACUAAACCUUGAUCCUCUGUACAGCUGAUGGUGGCCGAGAAGAAGGGACGAUCCGCUUCUAUGACCUGGUUACCCAGCAAGCCAUUCUUUCUCUGGAUUGCGGCCAGUCGCCACUCAUGUCGGCUGACUGGUGCCUCGCCAACACCAUCAAGGUGGGCGCGGUGACGGGAAGUGACUGGGUCAUCUGUGAUAUUACCCGCUCCAGGUGUUCUCGGGUCUCCACAACAGGAUGUCCAGGCAAGAUCAGCAGUCAGUUACUAGUGCAUCACCUGGGUCACCCGCAGCCAGUGAUGAUUGGAUCAGCCACGGUGGGGGCAGGUCUAAACUGGCAGAGGUCCCUCCCACUCUGUGUCAUUGGCGGUGACCGAAAGCUCUCUUUUUGGAUGACAGAAAUGUAAUGCAGUCACUUCCUAUGGAGGUAUUAGAGGUAAUGCAAAUGUACAUUGAAACUGUUUGACAUGAGGUGUGGUCGGAUAUUUAUAUUUAUCAUUUUUCAAUAAAGUAUUUAAUUUUCCAUG